rnacentral:rRNA from 1 species
UACGUAGGGUGCGAGCGUUAAUCGGAAUUACUGGGCGUAAAGGGCGCGUAGGCGGUCUGCUAAGUUGGAUGUGAAAACUCUGGGCUUAACCCAGAGCCUGCAUUCAAUACUGACAGGCUAGAGUUCUGGAGGGGAUAGCGGAAUUCCUGGUGUAGCGGUGAAAUGCGUAGAUAUCAGGAGGAACACCGGUGGCGAAGGCGGCUAUCUGGACAGAGUCUGACGCUGAGGCGCGAAAGCUAGGGGAGCAAACAGG